CACGUAGGGUGCGAGCGUUGUCCGGAAUUACUGGGCGUAAAGGGCUCGUAGGCGGCCAACUAAGUCAUACGUGAAAUCCCUCAGCUUAACUGGGGAACUGCGUGUGAUACUGGAUGGCUUGGAUUCGGGAGAGGGAUGCGGAAUUCCAGGUGUAGCGGUGAAAUGCGUAGAUAUCUGGAGGAACACCGGUGGCGAAGGCGGCAUCCUGGACCGAUAUUGACGCUGAGGAGCGAAAGCCAGGGGAGCAAACGGG
rnacentral:rRNA from 1 species